GUACUCAAUUCGGCAGCAUAUAUACUAAAAUUGGAAUGACAGAGAAGGUUAGCAUGGUCCUGCACAAGGAUGACACCAAAUUCAUGAAGCAUUCCACAUUUAA